ensembl:lncRNA
AAACCACCUCCCAGCGCUCGCCUCGCCGCCCGAAGUUGCAUCUUCCCACUCCUGGAAUUGCGGAGCGGAGCAACUACCCACAGGGCAGCCGAGCCGCCCUCCCCGCGCCCGGGAGCCCCUUCCCCGCCCCCCACCCCCGCGGCGCACACCGGGGUCCCCGGCGCGGCCGGGCCCGGGGCCCCGCGCCCCCGCCCCUCGCGGGCCCCGCGGCGCCCCCACCCCCCACCCCCACCCCGGCCCCUACCUUGGCGGGAGGCGGCGGGCCCGGGGAGGAGGACGCGCACGCCCCGCGCCUCUGAAGGUGAAGCCGAGCGCCCGAGGCGCGGAGCCGAGCGCUGCACUAGACCGACCGCGCCAGCUGCGCCCGGGCGCGGGGGACGCGCGAGGGCGCGCGGGGCCCGCCACGCGCCCUGCCCCCUCCCCGCGCCGCCCUCGCGCGCCCCGGACGCGCCCGCCCCGCGGGGACCCCGGCGCCGGCCGGGCUUGGGGGCCUGCGCGGCGGGGGGAGGGGGCCGGGCCCCGGCGGCCGGGCGCAGGCCCGAGGCUUCCCCCAGCCACGGAAUGGUCUGCCCUGUAGGAAACGCACACGCUCCACUAUUGUCUCAUCAGCACAAAGUUCUACCACACUGCGGGCAAAGUCUGGAGGCUCGCGAUGACUCAGACCCAGAUAAUUCUUCCCCUAAUAGCCCUGAAUCACGAUCCCAGCGGCUAGUUGUCGCCCCUUCUUCUCAAGGACUAACGCUGCCGCAGAUCCAGUUACGGGAAGCUGUUUACGCGCGCACACGGACACACACGCACGCAUCCAUACGUGCAGACGUGUUGGGAUGCAUUUUCAGCCGACUUGGGCACCUGAGCACUAAGCCUCGAGUCCAGAUCUCUCUGACAAUUUAGGGCCGAAAUGGCUGUACUCUAGGCUUAGAGAGUCAUGGUGGAGACCCGCAUGUUGUCGGGAGACUUUUGUGAAGAUCUCUUCAUCUCUCCUCGAUGCCCCAGUCUGAAGAUGCUGUCUACACGGAGCCACAUCUGAAUUUUCAGAUAGCUUAAUAAUCAGCAAAGUAUCUCUCCAAGAUUCUGUGCAACAUGUACCCAUAGGUAUGAUACGGAGAAUGUCUCGUUCAUCUUCCGCGAUUUCCCAGGGAAUCAACGUUCCCCACCAUCUGUCAGAGGCAAGCUCCCAAUGACCCAUGAUACUAGUCUUAUUGCAACACAGAUUUUCUGUUCCUGAUCCUCAUGCAUCCAUUUUGGUUAACGACCUAGGUAUCGUUAAUGGUGUGGGGACAUAGAGUUCGUGCAGGUUUGCGAUUGUGGCCAAAGUAGCGCAGAAAACACACUAACCGUUGAGAUUGGCAGCCGCAUUUUCUUACCGUUUGCGGUUUUCGGUAACUACAUCAGGACCUCACAGCAGGUAGAGGGCCCUCAAAUCUGUUCUUAAUUUCAAGUUAAGUAAAGACUUUCGGCAACAGCUGGCAGCUGAAUAGCUGAUGCCGAAUUCCACAGAUGUGGUUCUUAAUAGUUUGAAGGAUGAAAGGAAGGAGUCCACGGAGCAGGAUUCAUUUAAGGGAAGACAAAGUCAGGAAGGACUCCUCUCGUGGGAGAUUCUCCGCGUUAGAAGAGGGACUGUGUUUAUUACCUUUUCUCGUAAUCCCUACACUAUGUUAAUUACUUAACGGAGACGUCGUGACCUAUUAACACCACGCUUUCUUACAACAGCAAAACCAUUGACUUUUCCCGCCCCGAAAUCCC